rnacentral:rRNA from 1 species
UACAGAGGUCUCAAGCGUUGUUCGGAUUCAUUGGGCGUAAAGGGUGCGUAGGCGGUGAGGUAAGUCGGAUGUGAAAUCCCGGGGCUUAACCUGGGAACUGCAUCCGAUACUGGAUGGCUUGAAUCCGGGAGAGGGAUGCAGAAUUCCAGGUGUAGCGGUGAAAUGCGUAGAUAUCUGGAGGAAUACCGGUGGCGAAGGCGGCAUCCUGGACCGGCAUUGACGCUGAGUGAGCGAAAGCCAGGGGAGCAAACGGG